rnacentral:rRNA from 1 species
ACUCAAAUGAAUUGACGGGGGCCCGCACAAGCGGUGGAACAUGUGGUUUAAUUCGACGCAACGCGAAGAACCUUACCUGGGCUUGAACUACUCGUGGUAGUUCGCUGGAAACAGUGGACGACCCGCAAGGGAGCGAGCAGAGGUGCUGCAUGGUUGUCGUCAGCUCGUGUCGUGAGAUGUUGGGUUAAGUCCCGCAACGAGCGCAACCCCUAUCCAAUGUUGCUACUCCCGCAAGGGAGGCACUCUUUGGAAACUGCCUUCGAUAAGAAGGAGGAAGGUGGGGACGACGUCAAAUCCUCAUGGCCCUUAUGUCCAGGGCUACACACGUGUUACAAUGGCCGGUACAAUGGGAAGCAAUACCGCAAGGUGGAGCCAAACCCCUAAAGCCGGCCCCAGUUCAGAUUGUGGGCUGCAACUCGCCCACAUGAAGGCGGAAUCGCUAGUAAUCGCUGAUCAGCAGGCAGCGGUGAAUACGUUCCCGGGCCUUGUACACACCGCCCGU